rnacentral:rRNA from 1 species
AGAGUUUGAUUCUGGCUCAGGACGAACGCUGGCGGCGUGCUUAACACAUGCAAGUCGAACGAGAAGCUUACAAUUGAUCCUUCGGGUGAAGCUGUAAGUGGACAGUGGCGAACGGGUGAGUAACGCGUAGGUAACCAACCUCAUGCAGGGGGAUAGCCCAGGGAAACUUGGAUUAAACCCGCAUAAGACCACAACACCGCAUGGUGUAGGGGUAAAAACUCCGGUGGCAUGAGACGGACCUGCGUCUUAUUAGGCAGUUGGUGAGGUAACGGCUCACCAAGCCGACGAUGAGUAGCCGACCUGAGAGGGUGAUCGGCCACAUUGGGACUGAGACACGGCCCAG